AGUGAACGCUGGCGGUAGGCCUAACACAUGCAAGUCGAACGGCAGCACAGUAAGAGCUUGCUCUUACGGGUGGCGAGUGGCGGACGGGUGAGGAAUACAUCGGAAUCUACUUUUUCGUGGGGGAUAACGUAGGGAAACUUACGCUAAUACCGCAUACGACCUACGGGUGAAAGCAGGGGAUCUUCGGACCUUGCGCGAUUGAAUGAGCCGAUGUCGGAUUAGCUAGUUGGCGGGGUAAAGGCCCACCAAGGCGACGAUCCGUAUCUGGUCUGAGAGGAUGAUCAGCCACACUGGAACUGAGACACGGUCCAGACUCCUACGAGAGGCAGCAGUGGGGAAUAUUGGACAAUGGGCGCAAGCCUGAUCCAGCCAUACCGCGUGGGUGAAGAAGGCCUUCGGGUUGUAAAGCCCUUUUGUUGGGGAAGAAAAGCAGCAGGUUAAUACCCCGCUGUUCUGACGGUACCCAAAGAAUAAGCACCGGCUAACUUCGUG
rnacentral:rRNA from 1 species